rnacentral:misc_RNA from 1 species
UUUCCGUAGGUGAACCUGCGGAAGGAUCAUUCAUAAUAAGUGUUUUAUGGCACUUUUUUAAAUCUAUAUCCACCUUGUGUGCAAUGUCAGGGUUGAUUGUUAUCUCGAGAGGAUCAGCCCCAAACAUCAACUAUAUCUCAACUCUUUGUCAGAAGAAUAUUAUGAAUAAAACAGUUCAAAAUACAACUUUCAACAACGGAUCUCUUGGCUCUC